rnacentral:lncRNA from 1 species
GUUUCAUUCCUGAAGUCAGUGAGACUGGGAAGCCACCAGAAAGAAGAAACUCCAGACAGACAGACUGACUUUAAGAACUGUAACACUCACUGCAAGGGUUUGCAGCUUCAUUCUUCAAGUAAGUGAGACCAGGGACCCACAAAUACUGGACACCAUGUACUUGGGAGACUGAGGCAGGAGAAUGGCGUCAACCUGGGAGGUGGAGCUCGUGAUGAGCAGAGUUUGCGCCACUGGACUCCAGUCUGGGUGACAGAGACUCCAUCACAAAAAAUAAAAAGUGGAUGGGAAAAAUAUGGUAACUUUGCCAGGCACAGUGGCUCAUACCUGUAAUCCCAGGACUUUGGGAGGCUGAGGUGGGUGGAUCACUUGAGAUCAUAAGUUCAAGACCAGCCUGACCAACAUGGUAAAACCCUAUCUCUACUAGAAAACGAAAAUUAGCCAGGCAUGGUCGCAUGUGUCUGUAAUAGCAGGUACUUGAGAGACUGAGGAAGAAGAAUCUCUUGAACCCAGGAGACAGAUUGCAGUAAGAAGAAAUUAUACCACUGCACUUAAGGCUGGGCAGCAAGAGUGAGACUCUCAAAAAAAAAAAAAAAAAACACACAACAAUUUAAGGACCUACCUUUGCUACUUAAGAGGAAGAAGGAAAAGACAAAGGAAGUGGAGACGUAUACUUUGUAUCCAUGUGAGGCUUUGGAGAGCUCAGUCUGCAAGUUCUGUUGCGACAUUCGUGUUUCCUGUUUGUCUCCAAAAACUUUCAAAUUCCUGGAUGUGAAGAUACAAUUUUUAACUUCUAGCAGUUUAGGUAUACAUUUUGUUUUGAGUAAUACCAAUAAUACCAAUACUUUACAUUUUCAUUUUCUGGUAAUGGUAAGUUGGAUGAGAGGGAAAUAGCAUCCUAAAUUAGGGUUGAGCAGGGAAACGCAGGUUUGCUUCUGUGCAUGCAAUAUAUUUCUCUCCUACAAUUUCAUGUACAGUGGAGCUUUUGGGUUGAUUGUAGGUGAACAAUAACAUCUAGCAUUAGAAGAAAGAAUUUUAAUGAUGGUGAACUUUAAAAAAAAAAAAAAAAGCAUUAUUUCUGACUUAAAAAGUUGAUCCCUUGACUCUAUAACUAUUCUUUGUUUGAAACCCCUUACAGUUGGCUUCUCUGGGUACUUGCGAAGGUUUUAACCAGA